AGUGAACGCUGGCGGUAGGCCUAACACAUGCAAGUCGAACGGCAGCACAGUAAGAGCUUGCUCUUACGGGUGGCGAGUGGCGGACGGGUGAGGAAUACAUCGGAAUCUACUUUUUCGGGGGGGAUAACGUAGGGAAACUGACGCUAAUACCGCAUACGACCUACGGGUGAAAGCAGGGGAUCUUCGGACCUUGCGCGAUUGAAUGAGCCGGUGUCGGAUUAGCUAGUUGGCGGGGUAAAGGCCCACCAAGGCGACGAUCCGUAGCUGGUCUGAGAGGAUGAUCAGCCACACUGGAACUGAGACACGGUCCAGACUCCUACGGGAGGCAGCAGUGGGGAAUAUUGGACAAUGGGCGCAAGCCUGAUCCAGCCAUACCGCGUGGGUGAAGAAGGCCUUCGGGUUGUAAAGCCCUUUUGUUGGGAAAGAAAAGCAGCAGGUUAAUCCCCCGCUGUUCUGACGGUACCCAAAGAAUAAGCACCGGCUAACUUCGUG
rnacentral:rRNA from 1 species